CAGUGGGGAAUAUUGCACAAUGGGGGAAACCCUGAUGCAGCGACGCCGCGUGAAGGAAGAAGUAUCUCGGUAUGUAAACUUCUAUCAGCAGGGAAGAAAAUGACGGUACCUGACUAAGAAGCCCCGGCUAACUACGUGCCAGCAGCCGCGGUAAUACGUAGGGGGCAAGCGUUAUCCGGAUUUACUGGGUGUAAAGGGAGCGUAGACGGAAGAGCAAGUCUGAUGUGAAAGGCUGGGGCUUAACCCCAGGACUGCAUUGGAAACUGUUUUUCUAGAGUGCCGGAGAGGUAAGCGGAAUUCCUAGUGUAGCGGUGAAAUGCGUAGAUAUUAGGAGGAACACCAGUGGCGAAGGCGGCUUACUGGACGGUAACUGACGUUGAGGCUCGAAAGCGUGGGGAGCAAACAGGACUAGAUACCCUGGUAGUCCACGCCGUAAACGAUGAAAAGGAGGUGUCGGGGGGCAAGACAGCUUGGUGCCGCAGCAAACACAAUAAGUAUUCCACCUGGGGAGUGCGUUCGCAAGAAAGAAACUCAAAGAAAUGACGGGGACCCGCACAAGCGGUGGAGCAUGUGGUUUAAUUCGAAGCAACGCGAAGAACCUUCCCAAGUCUUGACAUCUGCCUGACCGUUCCUUAACCGGGACUUUCUUUCGGGACAGGCAAGACAGGUGGUGCAUGGUUGUCGUCAGCUCGUGUCGUGAGAUGUUGGGUUAAGUCCCGCAACGAGCGCACCCCCUAUCCUUAGUAGCCAGCAUUUAAGGUGGGCACUCUACGGAGACUGCCGGGGAUAACCCGGAGGAAGGCGGGGAGGACGUCAAAUCAUCAUGCCCCUCAUGAUUUGGGCUCCACACGUGCUACAAUGGCGUAAACAAAGGGAAGAGAAGCGGUGACGCCAAGCAAAUCCCAAAAAUAACGUCCCAGCUCGGACCGCAGUCUGCACCUCGACUGCACGAAG
rnacentral:rRNA from 1 species